rnacentral:rRNA from 1 species
ACGUAGGGUGCAAGCGUUAUUCGGAAUUACUGGGCGUAAAGGGCGUGCAGGCGGGAGAUCAAGUCUGAUGUGAAAGCCCGGGGCUUAACCCCGGGAGGGGAUUGGAAACUGGUAUGCUUGAGUUCUGGAGAGGAAGGGGGAAUUCCCGGUGUAGCGGUGAAAUGCGUAGAGAUCAGGAGGAACAUCAGUGGCGAAGGCGGCCUUCUGGACAGCAACUGACGCUGAGACGCGAAAGCGUGGGGAGCAAACAG